rnacentral:rRNA from 1 species
UACGUAGGGGGCAAGGCGUUGUCCGGAAUCAUUGGGCGUAAAGAGCGUGUAGGCGGUUCGGUAAGUCGGCUGUGAAAGUCCAGGGCUCAACCCUGGGAUGCCGGUCGAUACUGCCGGACUAGAGUUCGGAAGAGGCGAGUGGAAUUCCCGGUGUAGCGGUGAAAUGCGCAGAUAUCGGGAGGAACACCAAUGGCGAAGGCAGCUCGCUGGGACGUUACUGACGCUGAGACGCGAAAAGCGUGGGGGAGCAAACAGGG